UAGGGGAAUCUUCGGGCAAUGGACGGGAAGUCUGACCGAGCAACGCCGCGUGAGUGAAGAAGGUNUUCGGAUCGUAAAGCUCUGCAUGUAAGAGAAGAACGAGUGUGAGAGUGGAAAGUUCACACUGUGACGGUAUCUUACCAGAAAGGGACGGCUAACUACGUGCCAGCAGCCGCGGUAAUACGUAGGUCCCGAGCGUUGUCCGGAUUUAUUGGGCGUAAAGCGAGCGCAGGCGGUUAGAUAAGUCUGAAGUUAAAGGCUGUGGCUUAACCAUAGUACGCUUUGGAAACUGUUUAACUUGAGUGCAAGAGGGGAGAGUGGAAUUCCAUGUGUAGCGGUGAAAUGCGUAGAUAUAUGGAGGAACACCGGUGGCGAAAGCGGCUCUCUGGCUUGUAACUGACGCUGAGGCUCGAAAGCGUGGGGAGCAAACAGGAUUAGAUACCCUGGUAGUCCACGCCGUAAACGAUGAGUGCUAGGUGUUAGACCCUUUCCGGGGUUUAGUGCCGCAGCUAACGCAUUAAGCACUCCGCCUGGGGAGUACGACCGCAAGGUUG
rnacentral:rRNA from 1 species